GGGCAAUUAGCUCAGUUAGGCAGAGCGGUACAUGAAAAUUGUUGGUAGUUUGUCAUGGUAUCUUUUUAAUGGUUUCAUCAUGUACAGGUCGCGGUGUUCAAGUCCCGCAUUGUCCA
rnacentral:tRNA from 1 species